rnacentral:rRNA from 1 species
UACGGAGGAUCCAAGCGUUAUCCGGAAUCAUUGGGUUUAAAGGGUCCGUAGGCGGUUUAGUAAGUCAGUGGUGAAAGCCCAUCGCUCAACGGUGGAACGGCCAUUGAUACUGCUAGACUUGAAUUAUUAGGAAGUAACUAGAAUAUGUAGUGUAGCGGUGAAAUGCUUAGAUAUUACAUGGAAUACCAAUUGCGAAGGCAGGUUACUACCAAUAUAUUGACGCUGAUGGACGAAAGCGUGGGGAGCGAACAGG